rnacentral:rRNA from 1 species
GACAGAGGAGCCAAGCGUUGUCCGGACUGACUGGGCGUAAAGCGUGCGCAGGCGGCUAUGCAAGACAGAUGUGAAAUCCCCGGGCUCAACCUGGGAACUGCAUUUGUGACUGCAUGGCUAGAGUACGGUAGAGGGGGAUGGAAUUCCGCGUGUAGCAGUGAAAUGCGUAGAUAUGCGGAGGAACACCGAUGGCGAAGGCAAUCCCCUGGACCUGUACUGACGCUCAUGCACGAAAGCGUGGGGAGCAAACAGG